rnacentral:rRNA from 1 species
AUACGGAGGGUGCAAGCGUUACUCGGAAUCACUGGGCGUAAAGCGCGCGCAGGCGGGCUGAUAAGUGGGAUGUGAAAGCCUACGGCUCAACCGUAGAACUGCAUCCAAAACUGUCAAGCUAGAGUCUGGGAGGGGAAGAUGGAAUUAGUUGUGUAGGGGUAAAAUCCGUAGAGAUAACUAGGAAUACCAAAAGCGAAGGCGAUCUUCUGGAACAGUACUGACGCUGAGGCGCGAAAGCGUGGGGAGCAAACAGGAUUAGAAACCCCUGUAGUCC